rnacentral:rRNA from 1 species
UACGUAGGGUGCAAGCGUUGUCCGGAAUUAUUGGGCGUAAAGAGCUCGUAGGCGGUCUGUCGCGUCUGCUGUGAAAACUCAGGGCUUAACCCUGAGCUUGCAGUGGGUACGGGCAGACUAGAGUGCGGUAGGGGAGACUGGAAUUCCUGGUGUAGCGGUGAAAUGCGCAGAUAUCAGGAGGAACACCGGUGGGCGAAGGCGGGGUCUCUGGGCC